rnacentral:rRNA from 1 species
UACGGAGGGUGCAAGCGUUAUCCGGAUUCACUGGGUUUAAAGGGUGCGUAGGAGGGCAGGUAAGUCCGUGGUGAAAUCUCUGAGCUUAACUCAGAAACUGCCGUGGAUACUACCGGUCUUGAAUAUCGUGGAGGUGAGCGGAAUAUGUCAUGUAGCGGUGAAAUGCUUAGAUAUGACAUAGAACACCAAUUGAGAAGGCAGCGCACUACCCGAAUAUUGACUCUGAGGCACGAAAGCGUGGGGAUAAAACAGG